rnacentral:rRNA from 1 species
CAGCCCCUCGAGUGGUGGGGAUGAUUAUUUGGCCUAAAGCGUCCGUAGCCGGCCGAGCAAGUCUUCCGUUAAAUCCAGCGUCUCAAGCGUUGGACCGCGGGAGAUACUACACGGCUAGAGAGUGGGAGAGGUCAGCGGUAUUCUGGGGGUAGGGGCGAAAUCCUUUGAUCCCCGGAGGACCACCAGUGGCGAAGGCUGCUGACUAGAACACGUCUGACGGUCAGGGACGAAAACUGGGGUAGCGAACCGGAUUAGAUACCCGAGUAGUCC